GAGGGUAUAGCUCAGGGGUAGAGCAUGUGCUUAACAUGCAUGAGGUCCUGGGUUCAAUCCCCAGUACCUCUG
rnacentral:tRNA from 1 species